rnacentral:rRNA from 1 species
UACGUAGGGUGCAAGCGUUAAUCGGAAUUACCGGGCGUAAAGCGUGCGCAGGCGGUUAUGUAAGACAGGGGUGAAAUCCCCGGGCUUAACCUGGGAACUGCAUUUGUGACUGCAUAGCUAGAGUACGGUAGAGGGGGAUGGAAUUCCGCGUGUAGCAGUGAAAUGCGUAGAUAUGCGGAGGAACACCGAUGGCGAAGGCAAUCCCCUGGACCUGUACUGACGCUCAUGCACGAAAGCGUGGGGAGCAAACAGG